UGCGGUGCUAUACAUGCAAGUCGAGCGGACAGAAGGGAGCUUGCUCCCGGAUGUUAGCGGCGGACGGGUGAGUAACACGUGGGUAACCUGCCUGUAAGACUGGGAUAACUCCGGGAAACCGGAGCUAAUACCGGAUAGUUCCUUGAACCGCAUGGUUCAAGGAUGAAAGACGGUUUCGGCUGUCACUUACAGAUGGACCCGCGGCGCAUUAGCUAGUUGGUGAGGUAACGGCUCACCAAGGCGACGAUGCGUAGCCGACCUGAGAGGGUGAUCGGCCACACUGGGACUGAGACACGGCCCAGACUCCUACGGGAGGCAGCAGUAGGGAAUCUUCCGCAAUGGACGAAAGUCUGACGGAGCAACGCCGCGUGAGUGAUGAAGGUUUUCGGAUCGUAAAGCUCUGUUGUUAGGGAAGAACAAGUGCAAGACUAACUGCUUGCACCUUGACGGUACCUAACCAGAAAGCCACGGCUAACUACGUGCCAGCAGCCGCGGUAAUGGGUAGGUGGCUAGCUCCGUCCGUAAUUAUUGGGGCAUAAAGUGGUAGCAGGCCUCUUUCUUAUUGCAUGUGAAAUACCCCCCGCGCAA
rnacentral:rRNA from 2 species